rnacentral:rRNA from 1 species
GAUGAACGCUGGCGGCGUGCUUAAUACAUGCAAGUCGAGCGAACAGACGAGGAGCUUGCUCUUCUGACGUUAGCGGCGGACGGGUGAGUAACACGUGGAUAACCUACCUAUAAGACUGGGAUAACUUCGGGAAACCGGAGCUAAUACCGGAUAAUAUAUUGAAUCGCAUGGUUCAAUAGUGAUAUACGGUUUUGCUGUCACUUAUAGAUGGAUCCGCGCCGCAUUAGCUAGUUGGUAAGGUAACGGCUUACCAAGGCGACGAUGCGUAGCCGACCUGAGAGGGGGAUCGGCCACACUAGAGCGGAGACACGGUCCGGACUCCUACGGGAGGCAACAGUAGGGAGUCUUCCGCAAUGGGCGAAAGCCUGACGGGGCAACGCCGCGUGAGUGAUGAAGGUCUUCGGAUCGUAGAACUCUGUUAUUAGGGAAGAACAAAUGUGUAAGUAACUAUGCACGUCUUGACGGUACCUAAUCAGAAAGCCACGGCUAACUACGUG